UCAGAUCCAGCUGCCCUUCCGCAGAGCACGGACUCUCCUCCUCCAACUUCUAGCUCUCCUCCUCCCAGCAUAGAUUUACCUAAACCAACUCACGACAGAGUCUUUACCGGGACACCAAGAGUGACAGAUCCACAGCCAUCGGCGACUCCAAGCGAGACUCCCGCGUCUCACACAGACACCACAAGCCUCCACUCAGCAGAUACAUCUCAUGGGACAACACCGAAACGCUCUGCUUCAGAUGAUCCUCCCAAUAGACAACCAACACCGUCUCUCCUCCCAUGAGGCCAUCGAACAUCGAGGAUCAGGGAUUCUGUGAUGACAAUCCUGAAUGCCAUUUUGUGCCUCUAACUCUCGGCAUCACGUACGAGGAAAUCCUCCGACUCCGGAAGAACUUGAGCAACUGAAGGCGUCGAUUUUGGGGCAGUUACACGAGAGGCUGAAAAAAGCAUUACCCAACUUGACUUUCGGGAGAGUGAAGCUCAAGGAACGCUCGUCUGGCAAGAAUACCUGACGGAUGAGGCGACCAGGCUAAGGAAAGGCCGGCAAUGCCUCAGCACAACUUGUGUCCUAUUUUCUCAGCAGUUGCUGCCUUAACCCUGGCUUCAGAGGGUAUUAGGAUUGCUUGUGUUUCUGCCCCGUGUUGUUUGAACAGUGAUGGGUUAACAAUCUUGCGCUCAGCUUUGCUCCAAUGUUGUGACGAAGGGGGAUAUUUUACCGCUUAUUUAUUGUAAUCGAAUAGUUGUGGUUAUAUGCGUUGUGUUACUUUGUGGCUCAGAAAAGAGUAACGUUAUAUUUUACGUCCCGAGCGGACACGGGCUUUGCUUCCAGUCGUGUGGUUCCUAUAAUAAGUAGUUUAGAGACACACGCACCUCUGACGUGGUGUUUUGAAUAGAUUGAUUGGCAUUACGGGUGAUGGCAUUAGCUGGAGAUGGAAGUAUGUUUUUUGUUGUUUGAGCCGAUGGUGAUGGGUUAACAUUCUCGCGUCAACUUUACACCAAUGUUGUGACGAAAAA